GACGAACGCUGGCGGCGUGCUUAACACAUGCAAGUCGAACGGAAAGGCCCCAGCUUGCUGGGGUACUCGAGUGGCGAACGGGUGAGUAACACGUGGGUGAUCUGCCCUGCACUCUGGGAUAAGCCUGGGAAACUGGGUCUAAUACCGGAUAGGACCGUGCUUUAGUGUGUGCGGUGGAAAGUUUUUCGGUGCAGGAUGAGCCCGCGGCCUAUCAGCUUGUUGGUGGGGUAAUGGCCUACCAAGGCGGCGACGGGUAGCCGGCCUGAGAGGGUGUACGGCCACAUUGGGACUGAGACACGGCCCAGACUCCUACGGGAGGCAGCAGUGGGGAAUAUUGCACAAUGGGCGCAAGCCUGAUGCAGCGACGCCGCGUGGGGGAUGACGGCCUUCGGGUUGUAAACCCCUUUCGACAGGGACGAAGCUUUUGUGACGGUACCUGCAUAAGAAGCACCGGCUAACUACGUG
rnacentral:rRNA from 1 species